CCUAGGGGGGCAGCAGUGGGGAAUAUUGCGCAAUGGGCGAAAGCCUGACGCAGCGACGCCGCGUGAGGGAUGAAGGUCUUCGGAUCGUAAACCUCUGUCAGCAGGGAAGAACGGUCACUGUGCUAAUCAGCAGUGAAUUGACGGUACCUGCAAAGGAAGCACCGGCCAACUCCGUGCCAGCAGCCGCGGUAAUACGUAGGGGGCGAGCGUUAUCCGGAUUUAUUGGGCGUAAAGCGUGCGUAGGCGGCUUGUUAAGUCCAGAAUUAAAGCCCGAGGCUUAACCUCGGUUCGUUCUGGAUACUGGC
rnacentral:rRNA from 1 species